UGACGCCUACACGUUUCUGGCGCCCAUCACUAUAUCCAUACCAACCCCUGUGCACUGUGAUGACGAAUGUCAUCGAACAAAAAAAACUCGUAUGGUUGAAUGUACGUGAAAUUGUAGGUAUAGCCUACGAACUAUACACAACUUUCGACAACGGAUCUCUUGGUUCUCCCAUCGAUGAAGAACGCAGCGAAACGCGAUAGGUAAUGUGAAUUGCAGAAUUCCGUGAAUCAUCGAAUCUUUGAACGCACCUUGCGCUCCAUGGUAUUCCGUGGAGCAUGCCUGUUUGAGUGCCGCGAAUUCUCCCUCCCCUUACGGUGGCCGAAAGGCCGAAGUAGGGCGGACGGGGUAGGAUGGGUGUUGCUGCCUGGGGAUUGUACCAGGCUCGCCCGAAAUGCAUAAGCGCCAGGACCCUCGCUACCGCUCUCUAGGGAAGAGUGGCUAAGCGACCGCUGAGCAUGGCAUGAUACGUCAUUUGCUGUGUGUGGGCGGCCGGUUGGAGAGGUGUCUGCUUUACCAGCCCUUUUUUAAUUCUGUCUUCAAAUUC
rnacentral:rRNA from 1 species